rnacentral:rRNA from 1 species
UACGUAGGGGGCUAGCGUUGUCCGGAUUUAUUGGGCGUAAAGAGCGUGUAGGCGGCCAGGUAGGUCUGCUGUGAAAACUCGAGGCUCAACCUCGAGACGUCGGCGGAAACCAUCUGGCUAGAGUCCGGAAGAGGAGAGUGGAAUUCCUGGUGUAGCGGUGAAAUGCGCAGAUAUCAGGAAGAACACCCGUGGCGAAGGCGGCUCGCUGGACCGGUUCUGACGCUGAUGCGCGAAAGCGUGGGGAGCAAACGGG